GGCAGCGACUGGCUAGAAGGGCCUGACAAGCAGUCCCCGCUAGCCUGUUGGGCCUUGGCCUCAGGUCCCUGGGUGGGAGGGAUUCGCAGAGCAUCUCCUGUCUAGCUCCUGCCUGAAUGGGUCACCAGCCAGACUCUGCUGGUCCCUGGAGGAUGACUGCAUCAGUGUCCCUUCCUUUGCCCCAGCCAGACCACAGCUCCGUAUUCUCCUUAGUCUGCUGGAGGAGCUGGCUCUAAAUGUCUCCGGGGUCCCUGGCCUUCCCUCCCUGAGUGCCCCCAGUGUGUCAGAGAGGCUUGUUUAAGGUGGACAGGCUGGAGCCAAGCUCCACCCAGCAGGCGUCCGACGACGACAUUCACUCUGCCCUCGGUUUCUUGGAUUAUGGGAUUCUAGGAUGCUGUCCUUCUUGGGCUCUUAUGGGGCCGUGGUUGGCCUCCACUGCUCAGGUUCAGAUGUCCCAUUUGAACCAGGGCCCCGGAAUUCCUAGAUUUUACACAGGGGAAUCGGGAUUAGAGGCCAAGUUCCCAGGCAGUGAUCCAGAGCCUUGUGACCAUGGCGGCAGCGAGUUAAGUGCACGGGAUGACGAGGUGCUGCUGACUGUGUGGGUGGAUGCACUGGGCUCUGCUUGUUUGCUUUGUGCCCUGUCCAAGCACCAGAAGAUCAGCAGAAGCAGCAUGCCUGGCUCACGCUGGCCUUGUCUCACCAGCUAAGAGUGGGGAUAUCAUGGCUGAGGCAAUGCUGGAUACACACCACUCUGAGUGGCAGUCCUCAGCUGAAGGGUGGAAGAGAACCUACGUCCGUACUUCCAAUUACAACAAAAUGCAUUCCAGGCUUCAGUGUCCAUGGCUACAAAGAAACUGGCUCAUCUAGAAAUGAUGGCACGACACUGGAGCCCGCCUCAACGAGGCCACCCUGAGUGGCAGAGUGUGUCAAGCUGGGCCUGAGGACUGCACACAUCUCCAGUGCCACUGCUGUGGGCUCAACACCACUGCUGAGACCCUCUCUGGCCAGAAGCCAGCCAAUAGGUCAUUCUGUUCUCUGGUGGCUUCCGGCUUUCCCUGGGGGUGGCUGGGGCUAUCAGGUCGGUGCCAGCAUAGACCCAGACCAGCUUGUUCAUGCGUCUGAGGAGACGACUGCAGAGUACUCUGGGGGACGCAAUGCCUCUGUGGGAGCGUGUCCUCGGGGCUUCCUUGUGCUUAUCACUUCAUGCUGGGCACUGGCUGAUGAUGAGGCCUACUGUGUGCUGAGCUCCAGCACCGACCUGGAUCUGUUUGAGCAUCACACUCUGAUUCCUGGAUUUUUCUUCACGUUGCCCUGAUGAGCCACCUAUUUACCGCUCCAUACCUCAGAUCCAAGGAGGACGGGCGGCAGGUGCUGAAUGCAGGGGGCAGGGGACUGUGGGUUUGCAGCUCCUCAAAUUUGGUCAAAACCUUACAAUUUUUUACACAUUCUUUGUAUCUGGAGUGCUUCCAGAGUGUGGUGUCUCAUGAUGGGGCUGCAGGUUUCUCGAGAGGAAACAGGUUUCACAUUUCCUCACCUCUCCAGGAAGACAGAGAGAAACUAGCUUUGAGGGAUAAGUGUUAUUCUGAGUUUGAACGGGGACACUUGGACACUGCUCUCCGAGGAGAUUCUACGUGAGUGACCCCACUCCUGGUACGCAUCUCUCGGACUUAAGUAUUAAGCUGAGGCUGACGGUCCCAGAGGAAGGUGCCAACAUGAUGGGGUCCACAUUCCAUUCCCAGGCCUAUGAGAGCUUAGCUUUGUGACUGAUAGGACUCAACAGACACAGGCCACACAGCAGGGCUUGCCUCCCUUUGAGUCCCCACCUCGGCGGUGCUGGAUGCCCAUCACCCAGCUUGCAUCUCAUUGGCAAUGAGCUGUGGUGGAGCUUGUUCUGUGCACACCUUGUAUCUGCAGCGUGGGAACGGCUGUGGCACAGGCCUUCCAGGACCACGAGCCUGUUCUGUGAGUCUCUUCUGUCUGUCCUCGAGGAGUUCGCCUUGGUCUUCGAAAAUAUCAGCAAGGCAGGCAGAUUAAAUGGCCUGGUGUUGUGAUACAUCGUGAGAACUGGCGGGCACGGGAGGCCUUCGAGGGUCCCCGCCCUCCCGUGCAUCGUCUUUUACACUUAGCGCAGAGUCUCUGCAUCUGGGCAUCGAAGGAGGGCUGCUUCCUCUCCUCCUGGAUGUAAUCACCCUUCCGUAUUUUAUGGGGGGGUGGGAAGAAAGGCAACUUGCAAUACUAUAUUCUAAAAUAAAGUCUUUUAUUUUUAUCAAACGAGAUAGCAGCUAACAGUUUAAGAAAGGCUGGGUAUAUGUGCAAUUUAGACAGUAUUUGGCUAAGGUAAAAAGUUAGCAUUUUAGUCCUUUGUAAAGUGCUGAGAAGUUGUUCCUGGUGAAUAUCUGCAUUAGGUUUAAAAAAAAUUUUUUUUUAACCAUCCAGUGAGACGCUGAUGUAUAAAUACAGGUGGAGCAAAGGGAGUCUAUGGGCUACUCAUACCCCUUGACAUCCGCGGCUGCUUCUCAAGUGUCCCACAUGACCCUGUGCAUUCUUUGGGAAGGGGGGUGGCACUGGGACAGCAGGCAGUGGGGGUAGCGGCUGACUGAUCAGCACCACGAACCACUCAGAAGGAGUGUCCAACUGCGAUGGCUCCCUGACAGCAGGUGCCCAGAAGACCCAAGACUCGACUAGCACCAUCCCUGCACGACUGGGCCAGCACCUGUCCCACGCAGAUAGGGCAAGUACAGUGUGGAAGCUGGACCUCAAAACUUGAUAGGUACUGAACAUUUUGGCUUAAAGAUUACACGUGAAACGCUACAGAUAGGACAUUGACUAAAUGUUAGCUGUUGAUUUUUAAUAGAAAAAAAUGCAAUAUAAAAAGAGUAUUUGUUAGAGGGGACAGUACACAUAAAAGUCUACUUUGGAAAGCCUCAGUUGCUCCCCCACAAAAUACCAAGCUGACUGGACUUGGGUGUGUUACCUGGCUUUCCAAAUUGUUACAAUCUGUACUCUGGAAUUUUAAAAAUAUAUAGAAUAUAAAUAAUGGUAGCGA